CCAUGUUCUGGGCUCUGUGGGGUUCUGUGUCAUGGAGCCCACUGGGGGAGGGGCAACAUCUACUUGAGGGCACAGGCAGCUGUGGCACUGGCCAGGAUUUGAAUGGACACUGAGCGCUGCAGCAGGAGCUGGUGGCUCUUUACGGAACGCGACAUCUGCGAGUCUGCUGGGGAAACCCUGAGGUUGAAUGGGUAUGGAAACUCUAAGCUGGUCUGCUGACUGGACAGGGUUCUUUAAGGCAUCACUGGAAGCCAAGAAGAGUAUUCAGAAGCAGAUGGAGUGACACUUAGCCCAAGGCAUUUUGAAGCGUUCCAUUAGAUGAAGAAAGUCAAUGUUCACUUGCCUUCACCUGGAAAAGAGAGGUGAAAACUGCCUUCAACAAGACGAACCCAGGGCAGUCUAACCCAAGUCUACGCUUCAAAAGUCUCCUGGCCCAACAGAAUCAAAGUUUGAACGGAAAGGGCAAAAAUUUCGAUGCAGAUUUGUACAGGUUGUAGAUGAUUUGUUAAUUAGUGAGUUGAGAUAAGAAGGUUCUUUCCCAUCCUGUGGUGAUUCUGUGCAUCACUCUGGAA